rnacentral:rRNA from 1 species
GGAAAGAUGAAAAGAACUUUGAAAAGAGAGUUAAACAGUAUGUGAAAUUGUUAAAAGGGAACCGUUUGGAGCCAGACUGGCUUGUCUGUAAUCAAUCUAGGCUUCGGCCUGGAUGCACUUGCAGGCUAUGCCUGCCAACGACAAUCUGACUUGAGGGAAAAAACUAGGGGAAAUGUGGCCCACUUGUGGGUGUUAUAGUCCCUUAGAAAAUACCUUGGGUUGGAUUGAGGAACGCAGCGAAUGCUUAUUGGCGAGUUUUCCAGGAAGGUUUUUUGAGGUACUACGGUAUCAAGGUUGAUCUUUUUGGUUAUACUUCUAUUCGCUUAGGUUGUUGGCUUAAUGACUCUAAAUGACCCGUCUUGAAACACGGACCA